GAUGAACGCUGGCGGCGUGCCUAAUACAUGCAAGUAGAACGCUGAAGGAAGGAGCUUGCUCUUUCCGGAUGAGUUGCGAACGGGUGAGUAACGCGUAGGUACCUGCCUGGUAGCGGGGGAUAACUAUUGGAAACGAUAGCUAAUACCGCAUAACAGUAGAUGUUGCAUGAUAUCUACUUAAAAGGUGCAAUUGCACCACUACCAGAUGGACCUGCGUUGUAUUAGCUAGUUGGUGAGGUAACGGCUCACCAAGGCGACGAUACAUAGCCGACCUGAGAGGGUGAGCGGCCAAACUGGGACUGAGACACGGCCCAGACUCCUACGGGAGGCAGCAGUAGGGAAUCUUCGGCAAUGGACGGAAGUCUGACCGAGCAACGCCGCGUGAGUGAAGAAGGUUGUCGGAUCGUAAAGCUCUGUUGUAAGAGAAGAACGAGUGUGAGAGUGGAAAGUUCACACUGUGACGGUAUCUUACCAGAAAGGGACGGCUAACUACGUG
rnacentral:rRNA from 1 species